UGAAGGUGCGGGGAGUACAGCUCUCCAUUAUGCUUCAUGUGGCGGAAACACGCAAUGUUGCCAGAAUGGGGCUGGCUAGACACGAUUGUCUAACUCCAUGUCGUCACCCUUGUGUCGUUUUUUUGGAAAGAAAAUGCACCGUUGCUGCAGACAGUAAUGUAUUGAUUCUUCACUACCGAAAGCGAAUUUAAAUGAGAUUUUACACAACUCAGCAAUGGGGCUCAUCAAACUGGUUAUAGACACAGGAAUUCUUCUAACAAAGGUUUAUCUGCAUACUGGGAGAUCCUGAGUACAUAAUAAAACUGUCGGAGG